UGGGGAAUAUUGCACAAUGGGGGAAACCCUGAUGCAGCAACGCCGCGUGAGCGAAGACGGUCUUCGGAUUGUAAACCUCUGUCAUAAGGGAAGAUAAUGACGGUACCCAAGGAGGAAGCUCCGGCUAACUACGUGCCAGCAGCCGCGGUAAUACKUAGGGAGCAAGCGUUGUCCGGAUUUACUGGGUGUAAAGGGUGCGUAAGCGGCUUUUUAAGUCGGGCGUGAAAGCUGUGGGCUUAACCCACAGAUUGCUUUCGAAACUGGAAGGCUUGAGUGAAGUAGAGGUAGGCGGAAUUCCCGGUGUAGCGGUGAAAUGCGUAGAGAUCGGGAGGAACACCAGUGGCGAAGGCGGCCUACUGGGCUUUAACUGACGCUGAGGCRCGAAAGCAUGGGUAGCAAACAGGAUUAGAUACCCUGGUAGUCCAUGCCGUAAACGAUGAUUACUAGGUGUGGGGGGUCUGACCCCUUCCGUGCCGGAGUUAACACAAUAAGUAAUCCACCUGGGGAGUACGGCCGCAAGGUUG
rnacentral:rRNA from 1 species